rnacentral:rRNA from 1 species
UACGUAGGGGGCGAGCGUUGUCCGGAGUUACUGGGCGUAAAGGGCAUGCAGGCGUUCAGACGCGUUUUGUGUGACAGCGGAGGGCUUCACUCUCCGAGCAUACGAAAGACGGUGUGACUUGAGGGCUCGAGAGGGACACGGAAUUCCGGGUGGAGUGGUGAAAUGCGUAGAGAUCCGGAGGAACACCGAAGGCGAAGGCAGUGUCCUGGCGAGUAUCCUGACGCUGAGGUGCGAAAGCCAGGGGAGCGAACGGG